UCUGUUAUACUUAUUCCUCAUCAUCGCUGCAUUGUUAUUGUUCUUGAUUGCUGCUUUAAUUCUCCAUAGUAGGCUUCUGCACUGUUUCUUGCCAUGAUUCUGCACCCUAACCCAAAAACUUUCCAUCAAGAAUCACCAAAGAUCAAAAAUUGGGGGGGAGAAUUUGUUAUAAUUUUCUUGGAUUCUGUAGGUAAAAUGGAAAGAUUAGAUGGGGCAUAAAUAAACAAGAAAAGGAUCUGAGUACUGAGUAAGUACUUUCCUUUUAAUUUUUUUUUUAAUUUUUCACCAAGAGUAGGAAACUGGGUAAAACCCAAAAACAGAAAAGAAACACAAAAAAAUGAUGCAAAAAUCCUUUUGGUCUUUUAGAAGAAGCUAUACUUACUAGCUCUGAUGAAAUUUAUUGUUGCAUUGGGGAACUUAAAUUCCAUAAGGCACACGCACAGACACACAGUGAGUGUGUAAGGGAGACAGGCAGCAGUGGGAAGAGAGCCCCCC
rnacentral:lncRNA from 1 species